rnacentral:hammerhead_ribozyme from 1 species
AGCUAGAAGACGAGUCCCAAAUAGGACGAAAUGCGUGUUCUGUCU